GUCCAGACUCCUACGGGAGGCAGCAGUGGGGAAUAUUGCACAAUGGGGGAAACCCUGAUGCAGCGACGCCGCGUGAGCGAUGAAGUAUUUCGGUAUGUAAAGCUCUAUCAGCAGGGAAGAAGAUGACGGUACCUGACUAAGAAGCCCCGGCUAACUACGUGCCAGCAGCCGCGGUAAUACGUAGGGGACAAGCGUUAUCCGGAUUUACUGGGUGUAAAGGGAGCGUAGACGGCGAUGCAAGCCAGAUGUGAAAGCCCGGGGCUCAACCCCGGGACUGCAUUUGGAACUGUGUGGCUGGAGUGUCGGAGAGGCAGGCGGAAUUCCUAGUGUAGCGGUGAAAUGCGUAGAUAUUAGGAGGAACACCAGUGGCGAAGGCGGCCUGCUGGACGAUGACUGACGUUGAGGCUCGAAAGCGUGGGGAGCAAACAGGAUUAGAUACCCCCGUAAUA
rnacentral:rRNA from 1 species